rnacentral:tRNA from 1 species
GGAUUGUGGUCAGUGGUAGAGCACUUGCCUAGCAUGUGUGAGGCCCUGAGUUCAAUUCUCAGCACCA